rnacentral:rRNA from 1 species
AAUUUAAAGUCUAAUCUGAAAACUGAUAUAAUUAUAUUCGAACCGGCUGCAGUAUAUUGACUGUACAAAGGUAGCAUAAUCAUUAGUCUUUUAAAUGGAGACUUGUAUGAAAGAUUUGAUGAAAUAUAAGCUGUCUCUUAAUUAAUAAUAAAAUUUUAUUUUUUAGUAAAAAAGCUAAAAUUUAUUUAAAAGACGAGAAGACCCUAUAGAGUUUUAUAAUUAUUUUAUUUAAAAUUAAAUAUUUAAUUUAUUAUUAAAAAUGAAAUAAUUAUUAUAUUGGGGUGAUAGAAAAAUUUAUAAAACUUUUUUUAAAAUUAAAACAUUAAUAAAUGAUUGUAUGAUCCAUUAAUAAUGAUUAUAAGAAAAAAUUACCUUAGGGAUAACAGCGUAAUAUUUUUUUUUAGUUCAAAUAAAAAAAAAAGUUUGCGACCUCGAUGUUGGAUUAAGAUAAAAUUUAAAUGCAAAAGUUUAAAAUUUUGAUCUGUUCGAUCAUUAAAAUCUUACAUG